rnacentral:lncRNA from 1 species
UUGACUCUCUUUGGGCGGGGGUCUAUAGGAGCAGUGCUGCUAAUUCUCUAAAUAUUGUAGUGACACUGUUUUUGUCCUGCAGAUUACAGGGUGUGCUAGCCCUGGAAAAACGGUAACAAUUGUGGUCCGUGGCUCCAACAAACUAGUAAUUGAAGAAGCUGAACGUUCAAUUCACGAUGCUUUGUGUGUCAUACGCUGUUUGGUAAAGAAAAGGUAAUGUAUAAGACUUACAGACCAGUAAAGUCACCAUUCAACUUUACCAAUGCCUUUUGUUAACAUUUUCAAACUGCCAAAUUCUAAUUUCAGAGCCCUGAUUGCAGGUGGUGGAGCACCAGAAAUAGAGUUGGCCUUACGCUUGGAUGAAUAUUCUCGCACCUUGAGUGGCAUGGAGUCUUAUUGUGUACGUGCUUAUGGAGAGGCCUUGGAAAUAAUUCCAUCCACCCUGGCUGAAAAUGCAGGCCUUAAUCCUAUUUCUACUGUGACUGAGUUGAGAAACAGACAUGCACAAGGAGAGAGAACUGCAGGAAUUAAUGUCAGAAAGGUAAUGGGCAAAGUGGUGAGACAAAAGAAAUACAUAUUAUUGUAUAUUAUUCCAUAGAAUUUUUUUUUUAUAUUGGAGUUUAUUAUGUAGUUUAUUGUAUGCUGCUCACUGCAUUAUGCAUAACUCAAAGGAACAGUCAAAAUAUCAUGUAUUUGUUUUCUUUAUUUCUGGUGUUCCGCCUGUGAGUGUAAUUUUACACGUAGCCAAAAUGGUAUCAUCUGUGCAUAACAGAGAGAUAUCAAAAGGUUUUGUGGAUCGCUGAUGUACAGGAUAUAUUUAAAUGCAAAAAAAUGGGGGGGGGGGCUCCCUAGAAACAGCCUGAUUAAGAUUGAACUUGAUUAGUGACCACAAAAUGCUGACUGGUGGUUGGGGUGGUUUGGCUGGUUGAAUAGAAAACGAGGUCUGAAGUAGCUGGACUCAUGAACAGCAGUUGCCUGCACUGCAACAUUUUGUUGCAGUGGCUGGGGCAACCCAGUCAGGUGUGCAGAAUACUACUACUAAGUGUAAUUUCAAUAAUAAUUGGCAGCCUCUGCAAAUGAAUACAAUAGAGGAAUCUCUUGGGUUGCAUUCUAGUUACAUGGUAUUGAUUCAUCAAAAACCAGACACGAACUGUUGACCCCAGUUAAUAUAUUCAGUUUCAUAAAAACAGCAUUGACAUAAAAUUCACUUGCAUUCUCAAGCCUAUUUUGCUGUUCAGCUGUGACAGUUGCUAAAUGUAUUUUUAUUUUGUUUAUUUCUGAGUUUAAUAUUUUUAAAAAUUCUAAGUGGUGUACAAUCAAUACAAAUUAACAUAAAAUGGCAAAAUGGUGUCAUAAAAACCAAUCUAGUGAUACAGGGUCCAGUUGGAACUUAAACAUAGACUCAGAUGGAUUCAUUCAACACGGAUCUUGCUCCAGUUGAUUCCAAAAUAUAAAACUUUAUCUUAAAUGCAAGAGCUGCUCAUUGGAACUUCGCUUUACUUAUGUUUGAAAAAUGUCAAGUGUGGUUUUUGAAGCUUGAUAGUGGAAUGUACCUAGAGAUAAUUGAUUGUUGGGGCUUACUGAUCCAAGGAACCAAGAAUUAAAUAUUUGGCUCUGUCUGUAGAUCCAUCAAAAGUGACCUUUUAUUGCCCAGAGUUAAGCAAUAAAAAGUGGCUUGCUUUUAUUUUCCUGUUGUGAAAUUUACCGUAUUUUUUGCUCUAUAAGACUCAUUUUUUUCCUCCUAAAAAGUAAGGGGAAAUGUGUGUGCGUCUUACGGAGCGAAUGCAGGCUGUGCAGCUAUCACAGAAUCCAGAACAGCAAGAGGGAUUGCUGCUUUCACUGCGCAGAAAGCAGAGAUUCAGAAUAUUUUUUUUCUUGUUUUCCUCCUCCAAAAACUAGGUGCGUCUUGUGGUUUGGUGCAUCUUAUAGAGCGAAAAAUACUGUAAUCUUUGAUGGAAACCUACUAUGAAACAACUGAGAAGUCUUUUUUUAUUAUUAAUAUGACAUUUUACUGGUGUUAGAAAAAAAAAUAUAUAUAUAUAUAUAUAUAUAUAUAUCUUGAUUGCACAGCUUAUUGCGGUUUUAUUAAAAAUGGUAAAGAUUAACAUAGUCAGCACUAUAAAAUAUUUGAUUAUUUUAAGGCUACUUCAACUAGAAUUAGUAUAAUUAAAUAUAUUCCUUGGCUGCAUGCCAUCAGUGCCUCAUAUACUUACUGCACAAGAAUAUUUGUUCUUUCCUACAAGCUGAGAUCAUGUACAGCAUGCUCAAAAACACUUGUAAACUUGGAUGUGAAUAUGGUUAAGUGAGUUGAUUGGCCACCUGAUGAGGCAGGAGUGCAUUUCUCCAGAAUGAAAAUGUUGGGAUACCUAAUUUCAUGUAAUUUAUGCUGGUAAUUUGUUUUAUAAACUGAGGUUUCUUAAUUUGUAGGGUGGAAUUUCCAAUAUCCUGGAAGAAUUGGUGGUCCAGCCUCUGUUGGUUUCCAUCAGUGCUCUGACCCUGGCGACAGAAACAGUCCGCAGUAUUCUUAAGAUUGAUGAUGUGGUAAGUUACACUUAAAGGCUAACAUUCUUGGAAAUGGAUAUUUCAUAGCAGUUAGCAAAUGUUAAAUGACAAUUCCUAUUAGAUCACAAUGUGAAUCUGCAAGUCAACAUGCUGCAUUUGUAACUAAAUGAUGAAAGUUGCUGUUCAAAUUUAAAGAGACAAAUAACUUAGUGAAAGUGUAGAUUAAUGCUGGAUGCAAACAAUGAUACAAAAGAAUGUUGGUGAUGCAGAGACAUUUGAAGGUAAUUGUUAAAAGUAUCAUCCCAUACCAUUCUGUUUCUCUUUGCAGGUGAAUACUCGAUGAGAUGACUAAAGAAACAAACUGUGCAGCUCAGCACAGUGUCGCAAGUUUGGAAUGCAGUUCCUUCAUUGGACGUUGCAUAACUCCCAGUUACAUUUCAUGUAUACUUGUCAACUUAAAUUAAUAAAACCUUAAAUUCUCAAGGCAUAUCUUGUUUACAUUGUCUUUAUAGCUAAACAAAGCGCACCCCC